CAUGUACGCGUCGCGUACCUAUUUUUUUAAAUGCCAUCAUUUGAAGGAAUUAUAGAUAAGAUUACUGUGUGCAAAAAAUUAAAGUGUUUACCGAAGAAAUUUUCAAAAAAUUAUCAAAGAAUCUGCAAAUUGGCCCUUUUUUAAAUCGCGUUGUUACCAUGGCAACGUGGAUUUUUAACGACAUUUUUUAUUUUUCGUAAUUCGCGAUAUUGUAGCAGUUAUGUGGUCAAGUUUCGUGAUCAUACUUUGCAAGAUGAUAAAAUAAUGUUUUUUUUAAUACAAUUGUGUGCUGUACAAUCAAAACUGUAUGGAGCCACCUUAACUGGCCUUUAAAAACGGUAAAUAGAACUAUUUACGAGUAUUUCUGGGAUUUCAUUCUUUGUAAGAUAUGUCGAAAACUCCUCACUCUAUUGCAUGCAAUUUAAAUUUCAUGAAACAAAUUUCAAUCUGUCACUUCCGUUUCUCUGACUAAACAUGAAUAUCUCAAAAUUAACAUCAUGACAAAUCAGACAACAUACAUCAGUUAUACCGAGACGAGCAGGCCUAGCAAGUUUCCAGAUUUGUUAAGUAGACUGAUCUGCCCGACUAAACCAGUGCCUUUUUUAAGGAAUUUUCACUGGGGGAGCAAAACAGGAAAAAAAGGCAGAACGAAAAAUAUGAGCCGUCGAGGUUUGGCGAAAGCGCGAGUCUGAAGAGAGAUUUUGUAAAACUUUAAUUUAUUAACUUCACCUAUAUCUUACUUUAAACAAUAACUUCAACUCUUUGUAGCUAUAAUCGUACAGCUAUAACCAGUGGCGUAGCCAGACCUUAAUUUUUUUGGGGGGGUCGAACCUCCCGCCGAAGGCGUGAGACCGUUUAGGAGGGUCCGUCUAGGAGGGGCAUGCACCCCCGGGAUAAUUUUGAAAUCUAGGGUCCCUGAAUUGCGAUUUCAAGCAUUUUGGGGUGAAAUCUAGCAGAAUUCCGAAGAUUAUAAAGUAUAUCGAAGACAUGAAUUUUUCCAGACAUUUCUACUCGGAAUUAAAUAAAUUGGAAAAGUCGCCUUGAAAAAUAGGAGGAGGGGUCAGUGUCACCUUAUUUCCUCUCUGUGAUGCUGGGGGGGGGGGGGGGGGGGG